AAAUCCCGGUUUGGUUGCGUCCCUUCCUCAGGAAAGGGGACAGGAUUGCCCAAAGCGGUUUGAGUGAGGACUGUAGGUGCUCUCUCAGUGGACCUGUCUGCGGGACCAGGUGCCCUGUGCAGGUUUGUGUCUUGUUUCCCUCUGAUGCCGGUGCAGCACUGUGGCACACCGCCGCCGAGGAGAGAAGGAAAGGUUACCGUGUAGCGGUGCGAGCGGUGAAUGUUGCUACAUAGCGGCUGGCUUUUUGUGCGUUGUAGUGUCACAGGCCUGUUCAGAAACCCAGCCUCAUCCCGCGACUGAUGGACGUCCUCAGCUUCGCGUGCGCCGUCCUUCUGUGCACCGCUGUGGCGCACGGUAAGCCGACGUUGAGGAAGGAGAGGGUCCACCACGACAUAGACCUGAGCAGGCGAACGCACGAAGACAAUAAAAGCUUCCAGUACGACCAUGAGGCCUUUCUUGGCAAAGAGGAGGCCAAAACAUUCGAUCAGCUCACCCCCGAGGAGAGCAAGGACAGGCUUGGUAAAAUCGUGGACCGCAUAGACAGCGAUGCUGAUGGCUACAUCACCACAGCCGAACUCAAGGCUUGGAUAAAGCGCGUGCAGAAGCGUUAUGUGUACGAGAACGUGGCAAAGGUUUGGGCAGAUUAUGACCUGAACAAAGACAACAAGAUUUCAUGGGACGAGUACAAGCAAGCCACAUACGGAUACUACCUCGCCAAUCCGGAGGAGUUUGAGGAUGCCACGGACCAGUUCAGCUUCAAGAAGAUGCUGCCUCGAGACGAGCGAAGGUUCAAAGCAGCUGAUCUGAACGGGGACCUGGCAGCAGACAGAGAAGAGUUCACAGCCUUCCUCCACCCCGAGGAGUUCGAACACAUGAAGGAUAUCGUGGUUCAGGAAACCCUGGAGGACAUUGACAAGAACGGCGACGGACAUGUGGAUGAGGAUGAGUACAUCGCGGACAUGUUUGCUCAUGAGGACGGGGGUCCAGAGCCAGACUGGGUCAAGACUGAGAGGGAACAGUUCUCUGACUUCCGGGACUUGAACAAGGAUGGUAAAAUGGACCGGGACGAGAUCCGCCAUUGGAUUAUGCCCCAAGACUAUGACCAUGCCCAGGCUGAGGCCAGACAUCUGGUUUAUGAGUCUGACCAGGACAAGGAUCAAAUGCUGACCAAAGAAGAGAUACUUGAGAACUGGAACAUGUUCGUUGGAAGUCAGGCCACCAACUACGGAGAGGACCUCACCAGGAACCAUGAUGAGCUCUGAGCUCUCAGUGUGCUUGUGUGUGUGUGUGUAUGUCUGUCUGUGUGUUUGUGUGUGUGUGUGUGUGUGAGGAGGGUUGCUGAACAUCUUUGUCUUCAAAGACAGAAUCCCAGACUCUUAUGCCUCCUCCUACCACCGCUACCACCACUCCAUUCUUUCCUCAUCAUGGUGGGACAGAUGUCAGGGUGUUGGACUUUAAAACCAACCCUCUGUAGAUAUCACACGGGAGGAGGAAUGAAGGUCGGUCCUGCCACUAACACUAAGAGUCCAUCUCGGUGUUUAUGUCGACGGGUCUGUUUUCUGACAUUCAGGAGCAAAGCCAGACUCCGUGGACUUACUUUCCAUCGAUGGUGCCUUCUCGCCGUAUCGUCGGCUUCGCUGCCUCAGAGAUCUGUGUAGAUAGUCUUUAAUACAAUCUGUCAAAGCUGAAUGCUGAGCUUUACAGAAAUUGUCAGAUACAGGAACAGUUUUUGAUAGCAAUGUUAAUGUGAAACAACAGCUCAGAACAUUUAUGCUAAUUUUAUUUAUUUAUCAAAUAACUUCUGAAUUUUAGGUCUGAGAGGACUACAGUGUUCAAAUAGUUUUUUUUUUUUUUUUUUUUUGUUUUUUUAACAGAAGACACAUUAUGUUUCUUUGUUUACAGUUUUUUCUGGCCAAAUUAUUAUAUAUAUUUUUUGUUUGUUUGUUUGUUUUGAUUAGUUAAAUGCCACAAAGCUGACUAAUGUUUAACGGCAUGGUUUUGCACGUGUUUGGUUUUAGUUUAGCCUGUGAAAGAUUUUUUUUCUUCGUACUUAGUUCAAAAUGUAUUUAUUGGUAUACUUAAGGCCAACAGUAUGCUCCAUGUUAAAUUUUUAUUGACUUUCGCCGAUGUUACAUUUGUGCUUUUACCUUUUUACAACUGUCCAAUUUAAGAGGAGGGAAGAAAAGUUUCCUUUCCACCCGUCUCAUGACUCCAUUCUUCCUGUUACAUCACUCCAAGGUCAUCUACUGUAUCAGAUGAACCCAAUGUUUUUUCCGCUGAAUUUGACAUUGCGUAUAUAUAUCAAACUGGUGUUUUUGAACAUCAGAUAUUCAUCUUUUGUCAUUUUUAUCACAUAUUUUGUAUAGUGUGAUGGAUAUGACGGGUGCAUAGAACAAUGUAAGGGUCUUGUAAUUUUCGUCCAAUUAAUGUCACUCAAAACCUUUCUUUCUCCUUCUCAUCUUUUUCUGUGAGUGCUUUGUUGUCCCAAACCUCAGUUGCAUUAAUAGUCCACAUCACACAGGGGCCCAAAUGCAUCAACAUGUCUCAUUUUCGACACUGCCCAUGUUCACAAAUU